rnacentral:ncRNA from 1 species
UCUCUGGAGGCACACCUUCCGCGAUUCCUUCGUGAGUUGCAGUUGGCACGGCCGAAGUUGACCGAACUUGAUGAUUUAUAGGAAGUAAAAGUCGUAACAAGGUUUCCGUAUGUGAACCUGCGGAAGGAUCAUUA